GAUCCAUACAGCUCUAAGUCUAAAAUGGCUUCAACACAGCACAAGCACUGCAUGAUGGGAAACGCACAGAAGAUAACAGGGCCAGAAGAGGGCAUCAGAUCUGCUGUCAGAGCUGCACAUACAAGCAAGGCUCCAACUCUGUCUUUGAGGGUCAGCUAUCCCUGGCCCAAGGGAGAGAAGCCCAGGCACCUGCAGGACCGAGUCCUGAGAGAGAAAUCUGAAAUAAACAUCAUGGAGAAGACGAAGAAGAAGAAGAAGAAGAAGAAGAAGAAGA